GCCUUCGUAGUGUAACGGUAGCACACUCGGCGCGUAUUCGAGAGGUCUAGGUUCGAGUCCCGUCGAGGACA
rnacentral:tRNA from 1 species